rnacentral:rRNA from 1 species
CGCGGCCUAUCAGCUUGUUGGUGAGGUUAUGGCUUACCAAGGCGACGACGGGUAGCCGGCCUGAGAGGGUGUCCGGCCACACUGGGACUGAGAUACGGCCCAGACUCCUACGGGAGGCAGCAGUGGGGAAUAUUGCACAAUGGGCGCAAGCCUGAUGCAGCGACGCCGCGUGGGGGAUGACGGCCUUCGGGUUGUAAACCUCUUUCAGUACAGGCGAAGCGUAAGUGACGGUAUGUACAGAAGAAGCACCGGCCAACUACGUGCCAGCAGCCGCGGUAAUACGUAGGGUGCGAGCGUUGUCCGGAAUUACUGGGCGUAAAGAGCUCGUUGGUGGUUUGUCGCGUUGUUCGUGAAAACCUGAGGCUUAACCUUGGGCGUGCGGGCGAUACGGGCAGACUGGAGUACUGCAGGGGAGACUGGAAUUCCUGGUGUAGCGGUGGAAUGCGCAGAUAUCAGGAGGAACACCGGUGGCGAAGGCGGGUCUCUGGGCAGUAACUGACGCUGAGGAGCGAAAGCGUGGGGAGCGAACAGGAUUAGAUACCCUGGUAGUCCACGCCGUAAACGGUGGGUACUAGGUGUGGGUUUCCUUCCUUGGGAUCCGUGCCGUAGCUAACGCAUUAAGUACCCCGCCUGGGGAGUACGG